GACGAGCGCUGGCGGCGUGCUUAACACAUGCAAGUCGAACGGAAAGGCCCUGCUUUUGUGGGGUGCUCGAGUGGCGAACGGGUGAGUAACACGUGAGUAACCUGCCCUUGACUUUGGGAUAACUUCAGGAAACUGGGGCUAAUACCGGAUAGGAGCUCCUGCUGCAUGGUGGGGGUUGGAAAGUUUCGGCGGUUGGGGAUGGACUCGCGGCUUAUCAGCUUGUUGGUGGGGUAGUGGCUUACCAAGGCUUUGACGGGUAGCCGGCCUGAGAGGGUGAACGGCCACAUUGGGACUGAGAUACGGCCCAGACUCCUACGGGAGGCAGCAGUGGGGAAUAUUGCACAAUGGGCGGAAGCCUGAUGCAGCAACGCCGCGUGCGGGAUGACGGCCUUCGGGUUGUAAACCGCUUUCGCCUGUGACGAAGCGUGAGUGACGGUAAUGGGUAAAGAAGCACCGGCUAACUACGUG
rnacentral:rRNA from 1 species